AACCGAGUCUUAACCGGGCGUUAAGUUGCAGGGUAUAGACCCGAAACCCGGUGAUCUAGCCAUGGGCAGGUUGAAGGUUGGGUAACACUAACUGGAGGACCGAACCGACUAAUGUUGAAAAAUUAGCGGAUGACCUGUGGCUGGGGGUGAAAGGCCAAUCAAACCGGGAGAUAGCUGGUUCUCCCCGAAAGCUAUUUAGGUAGCGCCUCGUGAACUCAUCUCCGGGGGUAGAGCACUGUUUCGGCUAGGGGGCCAUCCCGGCUUACCAACCCGAUGCAAACUGCGAAUACCGGAGAAUGUUAUCACGGGAGACACACGGCGGGUGCUAACGUCCGUCGUGAAGAGGGAAACAACCCAGACCGCCAGCUAAGGUCCCAAAGUCAUGGUUAAGUGGGAAACGAUGUGGGAAGGCCCAGACAGCCAGGAUGUUGGCUUAGAAGCAGCCAUCAUUUAAAGAAAGCGUAAUAGCUCACUGGUCGAGUCGGCCUGCGCGGAAGAUGUAACGGGGCUAAAUCAUGCACCGAAGCUGCGGCAGCGAACGUAUCACCCAAGACAACUUUGCGGAGUUGACGAUUGACGGAGCGAAGCGACGUCAAUGCGUUUUACAAAGUCGAGUUGGCUUA
rnacentral:rRNA from 1 species